rnacentral:misc_RNA from 1 species
AGGAAUUGCAUCAGCAUCUUGCAUUUGACCCAACGCAAAUGCAGCCUCAUGUGCCAAGAGAUUUGAGGGGUCCCUUGUUGCACUGAUAAGAGCAUUUCGUGGACCUGAUCCCCGAAGGUUCCUUAGAGAGAAAAGAGCUCUAAAACGCUCUGAAAUUGGCUGUUCUUGGUCCAGCAAUCUGUCACAUAGAAACUUCUCCAUUUCCUGAGAGACUUUAAAUGAACUUAUUGGAAGAUCGUCUUGGUCCUCCACUCCAACUACAUCUCCAAUCUCACCUACUCUGACCUCCAUGUAUAGCCAAAUUCAGCGUUGGAGAAUUUCACCGAAUAACGUUGGCACUUGACCUAACUUCUGGAAAGUGCAGGGAAGUGAU